rnacentral:rRNA from 1 species
CCUACGGGGGGCAGCAGUGGGGAAUAUUGGACAAUGGGGGGAACCCUGAUCCAGCCAUGCCGCGUGUGUGAAGAAGGCCCUCGGGUUGUAAAGCACUUUCAGUGAGGAAGAACGCCUGGUGGUUAAUACCCAUCAGGAAAGACAUCACUCACAGAAGAAGCACCGGCUAACUCCGUGCCAGCAGCUGCGGUAAUACGGAGGGUGCGAGCGUUAAUCGGAAUUACUGGGCGUAAAGCGCGCGUAGGUGGCUUGAUAAGCCGGUUGUGAAAGCCCCGGGCUCAACCUGGGAACGGCAUCCGGAACUGUCAAGCUAGAGUGCAGGAGAGGAAGGUAGAAUUCCCGGUGUAGCGGUGAAAUGCGUAGAGAUCGGGAGGAAUACCAGUGGCGAAGGCGGCCUUCUGGACUGACACUGACACUGAGGUGCGAAAGCGUGGGUAGCAAACAGGAUUAGAUACCCCUGUAGUC